GCUUCGACUGAACAGACGAACUUGAUGAUUGUCCUUUAUCAAAAGGUUUAUUAGUCUUCAAAUCUACCAAUCUAGUUGGCAUUGGUGGAGGAAGCUUUGGAAAUUCUGCCAAAGCUGCAUAUUUGUUUUGAAACGGUAACUGUAGUUUCAGUUUCAGUGUAGGCCUUUGAGGAACUGAUGGUCUUAACGGAUUCAGCAGGGCUGACGGAGUGUCAAAUGGUCUGGCCAUCUUUGUUUGUUCCUGUUUGCUCCUGACUGGGAUUUUCCCUAGUGUAGUGGGUCUCAUUCCGGCCCUGUAAGAAUUCUCUUGUUAGAAAAUCGGGAAGGGAAUUGUUUUCUCCUUUGAUAAAUUCUAUUUGAAAAUCAAAGAUAGAUAGGACAGCUUGCCAUCUAGCAAAUAUUUGUUUAGAAACCAGAUUUUUAACAUCCUUUUGUAAAAUCUCUUUAGC
rnacentral:lncRNA from 1 species